ensembl:lincRNA
CACAUGGAGCCUGCAGGCUUGCUGAGGUCUAAAUGUUUAUUUUCUCUUUUCCCAAAAGGAUGAAAAUGUUGAUAAAGUACCCUUUGUGCUUGCCUGGGAACACAAAUAUCUUCUUGUCCUUUGAUCCUAAGAAAUGGAUGAAGAAACUCCAGGGUGAAUGCAUAGACUUAAACCAGAGGGCAUCAAGUAAACGACAUCACAAGGAUCUAAGACUCUUUAUAAAUACCUCCGGAAAUGGCUUCAAGAACUGGUAACACUUUAUUAUGAUAUCUACCUCUAUACAAGAGCACUUGAACAUUUUUAUAGGCAUCUUAGGAACACCAGAAUUCUUCCAUAUACAGCUGUAAUAUUUCACUGAUAUACUGCAGAGUGGGGUUUACAUAGAUGGUAUUAGAAUACUGUGGAGAUGCUUGAAACUUAUGAAACAGUCUAUGUGUUCAACCUAAAUGACUGCUACCAUACAUUCCCAUGGGAAAUCUAAAUCCUGGUAUAAUUCUGCUUCCUAAAGGUGUCUGACUUAAAGUAAUGCUGCUGUUCUGACAUGACAGGUUUAUCGUUAGUUUUUUAGUUGUUUUAAUACAAGCAUAUUAAAGAGGCAUAAGUGGUAACACUCAGCCCAUCAUCUCACUUCUGUAUGCCUCAUAUUUACUCCACUUUUAAGGUUUUGCCAUUAUUUUAUUACCAUAUAAAUACAUAUAAACUAAAAGCUUAAAUAAAUGAAUUAAUUUGCCAAUUUUAAUACAGGGACUUGACUUAAACUUGUUUCCUGAUGUUGCU